CGGGGCGUAGCGCAGUCCGGUAGCGCAUCGGCUUUGGGUGCCGGUGGUCGCCGGUUCGAAUCCGGCCGCCCCGA
rnacentral:tRNA from 1 species